rnacentral:ncRNA from 2 species
UACAGAGUAGAGUGCCCUGCGUUAAGUGUCUGUCAGACGGGGAGUUGCUGACAGGACGAAAAGCAUGUAUGCUUGCGGUUCGGUGCUCGCAUCCCGCUGAA